rnacentral:rRNA from 1 species
AGGCCACUGCUAUCAGAGUUCGAUUAAGCCAUGCGAGUCGAGAGGUGUAAGACCUCGGCAUACUGCUCAGUAACACGUGGACAACCUACCCUAAGGAGGGGGAUAACCCCGGGAAACUGGGGAUAAUACCCCAUAGACUAUGGAUGCUGGAAUGCUUCGUAGUUCAAAGGUCCGCCGCCUUAGGAUGGGUCUGCGGCCGAUUAGGUUGUUGUUGGGGUAACGGCCCAACAAGCCUGUAAUCGGUACGGGUUGUGGGAGCAAGAGCCCGGAGAUGGAUUCUGAGACACGAAUCCAGGCCCUACGGGGCGCAGCAGGCGCGAAAACUUUACAAUGCGAGAAAUCGUGAUAAGGGAACUCUGAGUGCCCGUAAAAUCGGGCUGUCCAUCUGUUUAAAUAACAGGUGAAGAAAGGGCCGGGCAAGACCGGUGCCAGCCGCCGCGGUAAUACCGGCGGCUCGAGUGGUGGCCACUAUUACUGGGCUUAAAGCGUCCGUAGCUGGUCUGUUAAGUCUCUGGGGAAAUCUUCCGGCUCAACCGGAAGGCGUCUCAGGGAUACUGGCAGACUAGGGACCGGGAGAGGUGAGAGGUACUCCAGGGGUAGGAGUGAAAUCCUGUAAUCCUUGGGGGACCACCUGUGGCGAAGGCGUCUCACCAGAACGGCUCCGACAGUGAGGGACGAAAGCUGGGGGAGCAAACCGGAUUAGAUACCCGGGUAGUCCCAGCCGUAAACGAUGC